CGUGGGACAAGCAUGGACUGCUGAAGACGGAUUCUGACCGGACUCUCUAGAGGCUAAAGGCUCCUGAAAACACACCACAUGCAAAUCGCCGAACCUGUGGGAAUCGCGAUGUAGAAAAAAUCAUGGAAGCCAUAGUCUGCAUCGCUGCAGAC